UGAUAGUUCAUGCCAGGGAUCUUCCCUCUCUCAUUUUCCUGCGGACCUCCGCGAGGCGGGAUGGCUGACUGUGCCCUUUCUGCUGGAGGCCUGGUGCGUUUGGAGCAGCAGCAUGGUUUUGGGUAGAUAUCAGCCACCAUCUUCACACUGCUAUCAGAUAUAUCUACAGAAUGUAGGCCUGCAGCUAAGGAUAUAAAUGCAGGGAAACAUGCUUCAGCUGCUUGUAAUGGUGCAGUGAUCUGCUUAUCCUGAGGAGGGCACACUGUCCUUUUUCUGGUGAGCAUGGUUCAGCUUGAGAGGAGUCAGAGAGAAAAGAUUCAAGAAAGGAGAACAGGACCGUGGAUUGGAUUGAGGACCUCUACCCUCCAGUGGUGAACUAAGGUGAGAGGCCCUACAUUUCUCAUAUGGAUCAUAUUCAAAGGGGGUCAGCCACAUGCUACCACUGGCGAUCCUUAACGCAGUGAUCCUAUAUCAGUGCCCUGCAGGAAAUGAUGCAGGUUUUGAUCAUUGAGAUGCCUGCUUUCUUAAGGGCGACAUAACAUUUUGGUGAAAUGGUCUCCUUGAGACCUCCGAUUUGGAAAUAAACUGCUUAUUAUGCAACACGAUCAUGUUCAAUUACUCAGGGCUAUGUGUACUGAGUGCCUGUCGGUUUCCCUUCACAUAACAGAACUUUUUAACUUGUCUAGUCACGAUUUCUCAUGUGACUCUUGCAUUAACAGUAAAUUAUUAUUAUUAUAGUUUUUUUUUUAUUAUUAAAAAAAAAAAGCCUUUGGUUUGGUUUCUCUAAUGAGUCAAGAGCAGUUCUGGCUAGCUGGAUUUUUGUUUUUCUCUAAAAAGGGCCUGACUUCAGUGACUCACUGCACAACUGUUCUGUGACCAUUGCAUUUGACCAAUGAAUGGUUCAUGCCAUUUCGUGUGAUUUACCAUUUCCACCCUUAAAUUCUGGAUUUGCACACUUCAUACCCUAGUGAGAAGUAACUGAACUCAUUUUUACGAUACAGUUCACUUGGCCAUGGUAGUGACAAUGCGUGAUCUGUGUAUCUGUAAAAUGUGUGGAUUUGUAACUACUGUCCCAUGCUGCCCAGUGGGGAGGGGAAAAAAUCCCUUAGAUUUGUAGCUGUCUGUGUUAUAUUUCAUAAUUCUGCUGACCCAGUUGGCAAGUAACAAUGGCUGCUUACUGCAGGCUUCUGCAACAGUUGCUUUAACUAAUGCUUUACAAAAAUGUGGUAAAUCUUACAUGGCUUGGUUGUGCCCUAAGCUACACAGAUUGUUUGCUUAUGAUAGCAGCAUUUUAUUUUAGUAUUUUGGUAGAAUGCACUAUUGUCACAGCAACGUGGCACUUAUGGUGGAAUUUAA